rnacentral:lncRNA from 1 species
UUGAAGCCAUUUUCAAUGGCAGAAAGCUGCUUAACCUCUGUACCAACUACACUCUUCACCACCAAAACCCCACACCCGCUCCUCUCACUCCCACCAAAGCCCGUCAGACUCUUUCACCUCUCCUGCUCGUGUUCCUCUUCAUGGGUCUCCCUCAAAACCAAGACUUCACCGACCACUUUGGUCCCAUUUGUGGCACAGACCUCGGACUGGGCUCAGCAGGAGGAGGAGGAAGAGAAGGGUGGGUUGACGUGGGACAGUGAAGGAGGGGAAGAGAUUGAGGCUUCUGGCUCUGAGGAAGCUUGGGAGGGUGAGGUUGGGGAAGAUGGAGAAGAGAGUGAAGGGAGUGAAGAUACUUACAGUGAGCCGCCUGAGGAGGCUAAGCUUUUUGUGGGGAAUUUGCCUUAUGAUAUUGAUAGUGAGAAAUUGGCUCAGCUUUUUGACGAGGCUGGAGUUG